CUACGGGCCGCUGCAGUAAAGAAUCUUCCACAAUGGACGAAAGUCUGAUGGAGCGACACCGCGUGAGGGAUGACGUUCUAACGAAUGUAAACCUCUUUUGUGCAGGAGCAAAUUUUUGAGUUAACUGCACGAAUAAGCACCGGCUAAUCACGUGCCAGCAGCCGCGGUAAUACGUGAGGUGCAAGCGUUAUCCGGAAUCACUGGGCGUAAAGCGUCCGCAGCCGGAAAUUUAAGUUUGGAGUGAAAUUUCAGAGCCCAACUCUGAAAGCGUUCCGAAAACUGGAUUUCUAGAGUAGUGCAGGGGUGCGUGGAAUUCCGAUUGUAGGGGUAAAAUCCGUAGAUAAUCGGAGGAACACCAAACGCGAAGGCAGCGCACUGGGCACUUACUGACGGUCAGGGACGAAAGCGUGGGGAGCGAAGGGGAUUAGAUACCCGUGUAGUC
rnacentral:rRNA from 1 species